AAAUGAGGGUCUUCUGGAAAGGAGUCCUUCACCUUUCCUUGGCUGGAUAGCAAAUCUGUUCCGAAAUAGGAGAAAGGCAGCUUGGCCCUGCGGAAGGAGAUCCCAACUGAAAGGGGCUCUGCCCUGGACUAGGAUCUGAGGUGUCUGGAAAGGCAGUUUCCUCGGUCGUAAAAAUGGUUAUCAAUACCAUCUCAAAGGGGCAUCGCUGAGGAAAGCGCACACCACUAGCAGUCCAUGGAGCCCCUCAUCAAUGUGCGUUCUUCCGUGUUUCCCGUUAAAGUAGAUCAUUCAGUGCUAAAGCAGUUUAAGACUCCUUCAGCAUCUUAAUGAGAUGACAGUAGGUCCGCAGCGAAGAGAGGCCCACACAGUCCGCUGGUACCAACACCAUUCGAGCCAGAGAGGCUCCCAAGCUUCGAAGCUUCCCCCCAGGAGUGGAGGCCAGUAUUAUUGGCCAACAGAGGCACGCCACACCUUCAAUGCACAUCUGGGCCAUCAUCCCCACACACAAUCGGUCAGGUAAGACCCCAAGUUCCCUAGGGCACGGGGCUGCCACGGGCCCCAGUCUUGCCUGUUCCGACCCGCUACAGUUUCCUAGUUCCCCGCUCCCCCACACGCAAACGGACGCGGCCCCGAAGGUUCCCAUUCACGUCCCGGCCCCGAAGGACUCUGUGUACCUGCGCCCAUGUUCCUCUGCAAUCAAAUCUGUGGAAUUGGGGAUUGUUUCACGUUGGAACUGGGGGUUUGAUCUUUGUCUUGCCAAGCACACUGUAGGUAACUAAUAAGUGCUUUUUAAUUGAUUGAAUGAAUGAAUAGCUGGAAAGUGUUAGGAUAGGAGUUCCUUCAGGACAGGAACUUUUUACUUUCUUUGUAUCUCUAGUCCUUAGCACAGGGACUGGCACCUAGUAAAUUGCUUAAUUAAUCUAUUGACUACACAAUGAAAUUGGAGUUUAUUUAAUAAGUAAUAAGGAAUCUGAUGAUUUUUGAGCAGAGACCCAAUCUUCCCAGAAUGAUGCAUGAAGAAGGUUAGUCUGGAAGCAUCAGGAAUGGCAGAUGCUAUGGGGCAAAGGAUAAAAGAAGGACCAGUUAGAAGACUUGCCUUAUUCCAUGCAGACAAUAAUGAAGAAAUAAAAGGGAAAAUAAGAGUGGUGACCUUCAAGCUAUGGAGUGGGUAGAUACAAGAGAAAUGACAGUGGUGGAAUCAGCAGCACUUUGCCAUUGAUUAUUAUGAAAAGAAUCCAGAAGAAGAUAGAAAUUUAAAAUGUGGGAGGCUAUGAAUGAUGGUACUAUUGGCAGAAAUAGUGAAGACAGAAGAAAAAGCAAGCUUCCAGGGAAAGAUAAAAAUCUCAGCUUUGAACAAAUUCAAUUAAGUGUUUACUGUGUGACUGUCAUGCUGGUAAAUGUUGAUGCAUGUAAUCAAAAAGACAUUCCCUACCUUCAAGGUACUUAUGAUCUAAAAGAAGGAAAUGGAAAGGGAAUUGUAAUAAAUGAAAAGUGAAAUUAUUAAAUGUAAUAUUAAUAAAAUAUUGUGGUUGCCAUUAAAAAUUUACUCUCAAAUCAGGA